AGCAGCAGUGGGCUAGCUUGGAGAGCCUCGAGGGUACCGCCCAUGGGUGCAUGAGCGCGCAGGAUCAUGCUUCGUGCGAGCACCGAGUGCUGGUG
rnacentral:tRNA from 1 species